CCUCCGCGUGAACAUAGUUAACUUCUGUUUCUAUAGGUUAAGAAGGUACAGACAAAGAAGGCGCCUGCUCCCAAGAUUGCUAAACAAGAGUCCAGUGAUGAUGACACCAGCGACGAGACCUCUGAAUCUGAUGAGGAACAUGCAAAGAAGCCUGCUGCUAAACCCUUGGCUACAGUUGCGAAAAAUGGUUCGAAGACGGUCAAGCAAGAGAGCAGCAGCGAUGAGGACAGUUCUGAAGAUGAGUCGGAUGACAACAGUGAUGAUGAACCUGCAAAGAAGGCUGCUGCUAAACCUUGGGUGCCGUUGCUAAAAAUGGUUUGAAGAAAGGCAAGCAAGAAACCAGCAGGGAUGAGACCAGUUCUGAUGAUGAGUCAGACGAUGAUGUUAAACCUGCUGCCCCACUAAAGAAAACAUAUGUGGCUGUUGCACAAAAGAAAAAGGGUUUUUAGGCUGGUGCCCUCGAUUCUGGUGGUGUGCUCAGUUUUACCCUUAGUCGUGUUUUUUUUGCUCAG